rnacentral:tRNA from 1 species
GCCAGUAUGGCUCAGUUGGUUGGAGUAUCAUCCAGAAGGUGGCGGGUUCAAUUCCUGUUCAUGGCA